ACUCAAAGGAAUAGACGGGGACCCGCACAAGCGGUGGAGCGUGUGGUUUAAUUCGACGAUAAGCGUAGAACCUUACCAAGGUUUGACAUCCUAGGAAUUUCUGGGAAACCAGAGAGUGCUUUUGAACCUAGUGACAGGUGUUGCAUGGCCGUCGUCAGCUCGUGUCGUGAGAUGUUGGGUUAAGUCCCUCAACGAGCGCAACCCUUAUGUUUAGUUGUAUUUUUCUAAACAGACUGCCUCGGUAACGGGGAGGAAGGAGGGGAUGAUGUCAGGUCCGUAUUACCCUUACACCUUGGGCAACACACGCGCUACAAUGGCUGGUACAAUGGGCUGCGAAAUCGCGAGAUGUAGCAAAUCCCAUCAAAGCCAGUCCCAGUUCGGAUUGGAGGCUGAAACUCGCCUCCAUGAAGUCGGAAUCGCUAGUAACCGUAGGUCAGAACACUACGGUGAAUACGUUCCCGGGUCUUGUACACACCGCCCGU
rnacentral:rRNA from 1 species